rnacentral:rRNA from 1 species
GUCCACGCCGUAAACGAUGUCAACUAGGUGUUGUUCAUAUAGAAAUGAUUAGUGCCGAAGCUAACGCGAUAAGUUGACCGCCUGGGGAGUACGGUCGCAAGAUUAAAAACUCAAAGGAAUUGACGGGGGCCCGCACAAGCGGUGGAGCAUGUGGUUUAAUUCGAUGCAACGCGAAGAACCUUACCUACCCUUGACAUACAGUGAAGCUUGGAGAGAUCUGAGUGUGCCUUCGGGAACACUGAUACAGGUGCUGCAUGGCUGUCGU